CCCAGACGAAACAGAAGUUGCUGGCUCUGGGAUGGAACUUUGAGUAGCAAGGGUAGGAUUCCUUUCUAGGAUGGGUGGUGCUGUGUUAAGGACUAUUUUGAGUGUGAAAGAUGAGACUCCCCUGAACAGGACCAUGUGAAUUCAGGAGAAACAAAGAGGGCCGAAGCACUCUGCAUAGGAACAUUUGUAAUUUAUAGAGGCAGCUGAGAGGCAGAAUGUGGAUGGAGAGAAGACGAUAGUCAUGGCUGACAUUCCCCGCAUUGUUAACGCUGACUGUGCACGAAAUACUGGAUUGGGCACCAUGGAAUGCAGGCAACCUCGACCGCCAUUGGAUCUCAUUGGGAGCCAAAGUGAAACCCUUGUAUAACAAUUGAGAGCUGUAUCCACAGAUGACCCUUGACUUACAGUGACUAUACAUCUCCAUAAUCCCAUUCUUCCUUGAUCCAGACCCACAUGAAAGCUGCAUCAAGAAACAGAAAAGUAGCAUUUGCUGCUUAAAGAAUCAGGAGACAUUUCUGCAUUCUAGGCUGGGGAGAGGUGGAGGAGUGUGCUGCAGAAGGACAUUCUUGGCAAAGGGAAGACUUCUCUUUUUCUUGGGGAAAUGACCUUUGGGGCUGCGUCUCUCUCAGGAACUCCUCACCACCAACCUGGCCUACUGUGAAAUGCACGUGCUAUCUCUGGCUGCCUCUAUCCUGGCACGUGGAGCUCAGGGGGACAAAUAAUAUCAAGAGCCAGGGCUGUGCUGGAGAGAGCUGGAGAAGCCCUGCACAUGGCUGGUGUUCAGACUCUACGGCAGGGCUGCUUUCUAUGUCUAUUGUCCCUGGGUGCUGA
rnacentral:lncRNA from 13 species